CCUGAAGAGAUUGGGAGUGCUCGAAAGAGAACCUGCACACAGGUGCUGCAUGGCUGUCGUCAGCUCGUGUCGUGAGAUGUUGGGUUAAGUCCCGCAACGAGCGCAACCCUUGCCAUUAGUUGCUACGAAAGGGCACUCUAAUGGGACUGCCGGUGACAAACCGGAGGAAGGUGGGGAUGACGUCAAGUCCUCAUGGCCCUUAUAGGUGGGGCUACACACGUCAUACAAUGGCCGGUACAGAGGGUAGCCAACCCGCGAGGGGGAGCCAAUCCCACAAAGCCGGUCGUAGUCCGGAUCGCAGUCUGCAACUCGACUGCGUGAAGUCGGAAUCGCUAGUAAUCGCGGAUCAGCAUGUCGCGGUGAAUACGUUCCCGGGCCUU
rnacentral:rRNA from 1 species